UACGAAGGGGGCUAGCGUUGUUCGGAAUUACUGGGCGUAAAGUGCACGUAGGCGGAUAUUUAAGUCAGGGGUGAAAUCCCAGAGCUCAACUCUGGAACUGCCUUUGAUACUGGGUAUCUUGAGUAUGGAAGAGGUAAGUGGAAUUGCGAGUGUAGAGGUGAAAUUCGUAGAUAUUCGCAGGAACACCAGUGGCGAAGGCGGCUUACUGGUCCAUAACUGACGCUGAGGUGCGAAAGCGUGGGGAGCAAACAGG
rnacentral:rRNA from 1 species